rnacentral:rRNA from 1 species
AGAGUUUGAUCAUGGCUCAGGACGAACGCUGGCGGCGUGCUUAACACAUGCAAGUCGAGCGGAAAGGCCCUUCGGGGUACUCGAGCGGCGAACGGGUGAGUAACACGUGAGCAACCUGCCCCUGACUCUGGGAUAAGCCUGGGAAACCGGGUCUAAUACCGGAUACGACCGCCUCCGGCAUCGGAUGGUGGUGGAAAGAAUUUUGGUCGGGGAUGGGCUCGCGGCCUAUCAGCUUGUUGGUGGGGUAGUGGCCUACCAAGGCGACGACGGGUAGCCGGCCUGAGAGGGCGACCGGCCACACUGGGACUGAGACAC